rnacentral:lncRNA from 1 species
GGGGAGAGAACCAGAGUUAGCAGGCACAGGCUCACAAAGCAGGUCACCUGCGCCAGGGCUUGCAGGAGCUGCUCCUGCCCUGGCCCCUGGCCAGCAGUGGGACAGCGGGUGUGGGUCCUGAUUACCUGACUGCUUCCCACCCCAGGUAGGGAGGGAGAUGCAGAGAGAGCCCGCAGGCAGUGAAGGAGAUGGGAGGGGAGUGGACGGAGGAGGCCUACUCCUUUCCAAUUCAGUGUCCAGUUGACUGAGGAUCUCCUGGAGGGAAAAGUAGUCAGAGGCUCAGCCUCCAGAGCCCACGCGAACCUCGUUCAAACCCGGCUGCAUCCCCAGUGGCACGGCAGUCACCGGCUGCUUUCUCCCUGCUCCACCUGGACUCUGUGCCUCCCCACCCCUGCCUCCUGUCCCGCACACACAGUGAGCGCUAACCUACAUCUGUCCCCCAUCCCAGAAGGCCAGUUCUUCUUCCUUGCUGGAUCCCAUUGCCUGGCAGUGAACAUCUGCCAGGGGACAGUAGGAACUCAGGCCACGCCCACCCAGCUCUGUCCCAGAGCUGUCAUUUUUUGCGGGGGGGAAC